rnacentral:rRNA from 1 species
AAUAAAAAAAUUUUUAAUAAAAUAUUUUAAGGGGGAGUUAAAGUAUAUUUAUAGAAAAAAUUAAUUAAUUUAUAGUUAAAUAGUAUUGUAAAAGAAUUUUGAAAUAAUUGAAAAAAAAAUUAUGUAAAAGUAAUUUUUAGUUAAUGUAUCUUGGGUAUCAGAGUUUAUUAAUAAAUAUUUUUGAAUAAAAAAUUCUCGAAUUUAAAAGAGAUAAUUAAUUAAUAAAGUUAUUGUUGCAUAAAUAUUUUAAAUAAUUAAUUUGAAAUGAGAUGUUAAUCGUUUUUAAAUAUAUCUAGUUUUUUUAGAAAAAAAUUUAAUUUUAUAUUAUUUUAUGAAAGAAUUAAUUAAUUAAUUCUUUCAUAAAAUAAUAAUAUAUUUUAAGGGAUAAGCUUUAAUUUAAAUUUAUAUAAAUAAAGUUAAAUAUUAAAUUGAAAUUUUUAUAAUUUAUAUUGUUAAAAAAAUUUAGUUUAUUAUAAAUAAUUUCAUUUAAAAUAAAAUUUAAUAAAAUUUUAUAUAUUUAUAAAGAAAAAUUUUUUAAUAAAAUAAAAUUUGAUAUAAUGAUAAAAUUAGUAUAUAAAAUAAUUAUAUAUAUAUAUAUAUAUAAAUAAUUAAUUAAAAGGAAUUCGGCAAAAAUUUAUAUUCACUUGUUUAUCAAAAACAUGUCUUUUUGAAAAUAAUAUAAAGUCUAAUCUGCCCACUGAUUAAAUAUUAAAGGGCUGCAGUAUAUUGACUGUACAAAGGUAGCAUAAUCAUUAGUCAUUUAAUUGAUGACUUGUAUGAAAGAUUGGAUGAAAUAUAAACUGUCUCUUAAUUAAGUAUAGAAUUUAAUUUUUUAAUUAAAAAGUUAAAAUAAUUUAAAAAGACGAGAAGACCCUAUAGAGUUUUAUAGUUUUAUUAAUUAAGAUUAUAUAUAAUUUGAAAAAUUAAAAUUAAUAAAAUUAUUUUGUUGGGGUGACAAAAAAAUAUGAAAAACUUUUUUUAUAAGAUUACAUAUAUAAGUGAUUAAAUGAUCCAUUAAUAAUGAUUAUAAGAAAAAAUUACCUUAGGGAUAACAGCGUAAUUUUUUUUUUUAGUUCUUAUAAAAAGAAAAGUUUGCGACCUCGAUGUUGGAUUAAGAUAAAAUUUAAAUGCAGUAGUUUAAAAUUUUUGAUCUGUUCGAUCAUUAAAAUCUUACAUGAUCUGAGUUCAAACCGGUGUAAGCCAGGUUGGUUUCUAUCUUUUGAUAAAUAAAAUAUUUUAGUACGAAAGGAUUAAAUAUUUAAAUUAAAUUUUUAUUAAUGAAUUUUAUUAAAAUAUUUAAAAAUUUAUAUUAUU